rnacentral:rRNA from 1 species
UGGGGAAUAUUGGACAAUGGGCGAAAGCCUGAUCCAGCCAUGCCGCGUGUGUGAAGAAGGUCUUCGGAUUGUAAAGCACUUUAAGUUGGGAGGAAGGGCAGUUGCCUAAUACGUAACUGUUUUGACGUUACCGACAGAAUAAGCACCGGCUAACUCUGUGCCAGCAGCCGCGGUAAUACAGAGGGUGCAAGCGUUAAUCGGAAUUACUGGGCGUAAAGCGCGCGUAGGUGGUUUGUUAAGUUGGAUGUGAAAUCCCCGGGCUCAACCUGGGAACUGCAUUCAAAACUGACUGACUAGAGUAUGGUAGAGGGUGGUGGAAUUUCCUGUGUAGCGGUGAAAUGCGUAGAUAUAGGAAGGAACACCAGUGGCGAAGGCGACCACCUGGACUGAUACUGACACUGAGGUGCGAAAGCGUGGGGAGCAAACAGG